UAUACAACAUGAAUUGAAUACCCACCCCCACCAUAUCCAUCAUUCAAUCCCAUUUUACUCCCUCUCUGUUCAUAGCUUCUUCUGUGAACUGUGAACCAGUGAGGGAGUUAACCAACAAUGGGAAUGGCUGCUGGAAUUAACAACUCCAUCACUCCAACCUUAAACCCUAAUCAAAAGGGUUUCUUGUUUUCUUCACCCUUUAUCAGAACCCAACUCUCUGUUAAUCGUACCUUAUCUUCUUAUUCGUUUGGUAUCAAGUCUCCAUCUUUUUCAAAUUUCAGAAGAAACCCACUUCAGAAUUUUGUUAAGUGCUCGAUUUCUCAAGCUGAGGCUACUGAAAUUGCUGCAGAGAAAAGCACAUUAGUGAGGAGAAAUGACAUAAGGAAUAUUGCAAUUGUUGCGCAUGUUGAUCAUGGAAAAACAACAUUAGUGGAUGCCAUGUUGAAGCAAGCGAAAGUGUUUCGUGAUAACCAAGUUGUAGAGGAAAGAAUAAUGGACUCAAACGACUUAGAGCGUGAGAGGGGAAUAACAAUUCUUAGCAAAAACACAUCAAUUACAUACAAAGAUACAAAAAUGAAUAUUAUUGACACUCCAGGCCAUUCUGACUUUGGAGGUGAAGUAGAACGUGUUCUUAAUAUGGUCGAAGGAAUUCUUUUAGUGGUAGAUUCUGUUGAGGGCCCAAUGCCGCAAACAAGAUUUGUUUUAAAAAAAGCUCUUGAAUUCGGGCAUGCGGUUGUUGUUGUUGUGAACAAGGUUGAUAGACCAUCUGCUCGUCCCGAAUUUGUCAUCAACUCCACCUUUGAACUCUUCAUUGAACUAAACGCAUCUGAUGAACAGUGUGAUUUCCAAGCGGUAUAUGCAAUUGGUUUAAGUGGAAAGGCUGGACUUUCUCCUGAUAAUUUAGCCAACGAUCUUGGACCGCUUUUUGAGACGAUAAUUAGAUGCAUACCCGGGCCAAAAAUCAAGAAAGAUGGUUCACUUCAAAUGCUUGUAACAAGUACCGAAUACGAUGAACACAAAGGAAAGAUAGCUAUUGGACGUUUACAUGCCGGUGUUCUAAAUAGAGGCAUGGAUGUUCGUAUAUGCACACCGGGUGAUGCGUGCAGAUUUGGAAAAGUGAGCGAAUUAUUUGUGUUUGAGAAAUUUUAUAGGGCUCCUGCAGAACGUGUAGAGGCUGGUGAUAUUUGUGCAGUAUGUGGUAUUGGUGAUAUUCAGAUUGGGGAAACAAUUGCCGAUAAAAACGACGGGAAGGCGUUACCCGCCAUUAGAGUGGAAGAACCAACCGUCAAAAUGGCUUUCUCUAUCAAUACUUCACCAUUUGUUGGUCGUGAGGGAAAGUACGUAACUAGUAGAAAUUUACGAGAUAGACUGUACCGUGAGAUUGAAAGAAAUUUGGCCAUGAAAGUUGAAGACGGUGAAACUGCAGAUACGUUCCUUGUUAGCGGACGUGGUACUUUACACAUUACAAUAUUAAUAGAGAACAUGCGAAGGGAAAACUACGAGUUCAUGGUGGGACCCCCAAAAGUAAUCAACAAGAAAGUUGAUGACAAGUUGCUUGAACCUUAUGAGAUUGCCACUGUGGAAGUGCCUGAAGAACAUAUGGGAUCGGUUGUUGAACUUCUCGGUAAAAGACGUGGUCAAAUGUUUGAUAUGCAAGGACUCGGAUCUGAAGGAACAACACUACUCAAAUACAAGAUACCAACUCGUGGGCUUCUUGGACUGAGAAAUGCAAUUUUAACCGCUUCUCGAGGAACAGCAAUUCUCAACACGAUAUUUGAUAGUUACGGGCCAUGGGCUGGUGACAUGUCGACCCGUGAUCUCGGAUCGCUGGUAAUAUAGCGGUGGAAAAUGGGGCGGUUCGGGUGGUGAGGUUGCAUUUGAAGAUGGAACAUCAACUUCUUAUGCUUUAGCUAGUUCUCAAGAAAGAGGGCAGUUAUUUAUAAAACCCGGGGUAGAAGUUUAUAAAGGUCAGAUUGUCGGAAUUCAUCAACGACCCGGUGACCUGGCACUUAAUGUUUGCAAAAAGAAAGCCGCUACAAAUGUUCGUUCGAAUAAAGAAGUUUCUGUUGUUCUUGACACACCAUUGGAUUACAGUCUUGAUGAUUGUAUAGAGUAUAUCCAAGAAGAUGAACUGGUGGAAGUAACUCCAAAGAGUAUAAGAAUGUGCAAGAAUCCAAAAAUGAACAAAAAGGCGAGGUGAAUGUUUGUAGAGGUUAUAUAAACUAUUAUUGUAUGCGUUGGUAUAGAUUAUUAAUUUGUUAUAAAACGAUACAAUACGAUUAAAGUCA